rfam:Ciona savignyi cont_17962, whole genome shotgun sequence.
GGCAGGAUGGCCGAGUGGUCUAAGGCGCUGCGUUCAGGUCGCAGUCUCCUCUGGAGGCGCGGGUUCGAAUCCCGCUCCUGUCA